AGCUCAGUUGGUAGAGUGCUUGCCUUGCACGCACAAGGCCCUGGGUUCAAUCCCCAG
rnacentral:tRNA from 1 species